AUUGAACGCUGGCGGCAGGCCUAACACAUGCAAGUCGAGCGGAGCGGCGGACGGGUGAGUAAUGCCUAGGAAUCUGCCUGGUAGUGGGGGAUAACGUCCGGAAACGGGCGCUAAUACCGCAUCCUAUCAGAUGAGCAUAGGUCGGAUGAGCUAGGUGUGGGGGUAAAGGCAUACCAAGGCGACGAUCCGUAACGGGUCUGAGAGGAUGAUCAGUCACACUGGAACUUAGACACGGUCCAGACUCCGACGGGAGGCAGCAGGGGGGAAUAGUGGAAAAUGGGCGAAAGCCUGAUCAAGCCAUGCCGCGUGUGUGAAGAAGGGCUUCGGAUUGUAAAGCACUUUAAGUUGGGAGGCGUUACCAACAGAAUAAGCACCGGCUAACUUCGUGCCAGCAGCCGCGGUAAUAC
rnacentral:rRNA from 1 species